AGCGAACGCUGGCGGCAGGCUUAACACAUGCAAGUCGAACGGGCGUAGCAAUACGUCAGUGGCAGACGGGUGAGUAACGCGUGGGAACGUACCUUUUGGUUCGGAACAACCCAGGGAAACUUGGGCUAAUACCGGAUAAGCCCUUACGGGGAAAGAUUUAUCGCCGAAAGAUCGGCCCGCGUCUGAUUAGCUAGUUGGUGAGGUAACGGCUCACCAAGGCGACGAUCAGUAGCUGGUCUGAGAGGAUGAUCAGCCACAUUGGGACUGAGACACGGCCCAAACUCCUACGGGAGGCAGCAGUGGGGAAUAUUGGACAAUGGGCGCAAGCCUGAUCCAGCCAUGCCGCGUGAGUGAUGAAGGCCCUAGGGUUGUAAAGCUCUUUUGUGCGGGAAGAUAAUGACGGCACCGCAAGAAUAAGCCCCGGCUAACUUCGUGCCAGCCGCCGCCGU
rnacentral:rRNA from 1 species